UCCGUAGGUGAACCUGCGGAAGGAUCAUUAACGAGUUCUGAAACGGGUUGUAGCUGGCCUUCCGGGGCAUGUGCACACCCUGCUCAUCCACUCUACACCUGUGCACUCACUGUAGGUUGGCGUGGGCUUCCUUUGCGGGAAGCAUUCUGCCGGCCUAUGUACACUACAAACACUAUAAAGUAACAGAAUGUAUUCGCGUCUAACGCAUCAUAAUACAACUUUCAGCAACGGAUCUCUUGGCUCUCGCAUCAAUGAAGAACGCAGCGAAAUGCGAUAAGUAAUGUGAAUUGCAGAAUUCAGUGAAUUAUCGAAUCUUUGAACGCACCUUGCGCUCCUUGGCAUUCCGAGGAGCAUGCCUGUUUGAGUGUCAUUAUAUUCUCAAUCCCACUAGCUUUUGCUGGCUGGGGCUUGGAUUGUGGGGGUCUUGCUGGCCUAGUCAGCUCCCCUGAAAUGCAUUAGCGGAACCGUUUGCGAUCCGUCACAGGUGUGAUAAUUAUCUACGCCAGUGGGUUGCUUUCUGUCUGUUCAGCUCACAACCGUCCCUCUUUGGGACAACUGUAAUGAACGUUUGACCUCAAAUCAGGUAGGACUACCCGCUGAACUUAAGCAUAUCAAUAAGCGGAGGAA
rnacentral:rRNA from 1 species